rnacentral:rRNA from 1 species
AACGAACGCUGGCGGCAUGCCUAACGCAUGCAAGUCGAACGAGACCUUCGGGUCCUGUGGCCCAUGGCUGCGUAACGCGUGGGAACCUUCCCUUAGGUUCGGAAUAACUCCCCGACAGGGGUGCUAAUACCGGAUCAUGUCUUCGGACCAAAGAUUUAUCGCCUUUGGUUGGGCCCGCGUUGGAUUAGCUGGUUGGUAGGGUAAAAGCAUACCAAGGGGACCAUCCAUAGCUGGUCUGAGAGGAUGAUCAGCCACACUGGGAAUGAGACACGGCCCAGAAUCCUACGCGAGGGAGCAGUGGGGAAUAUUGGAAAAUGGGCGAAGGCAUGAUCCAGCAAUGACCGGUGAAUGAUGAAGGCCUUAAGGUUGUAAAGCUCUUUUAACCGGGAUGAUAAUGACAGUACCGGGAGAAUAAGCUACGGCUAACUCCGUG